ACUCAUAAUACCCUAUUCAUUUAAAGGUGCCGUGUGUGAAUUUUAGGGGCAUCUAGCGGUGAGAUUGCGAAUUGCAAUAGAGAAUCUACAUGCCCUGGUCCACAUACCCACACUUGCGGUCUUUGCACUUGACCACUUGUCUACUAACAUGACGUAUUUCCUGUAUUCAAGUGGGCGUGAAGACUGCAAGAACUUUUGAUUACCUGAUGGGACACACUUGUUUUGCAAAAAAGCAAGUUUACAGAGCUUUUUUUUAUUUUCAAUACUUUGCAUUUUAAAAUAAACUUCUAAAUGUCUAUUCAGUAGUCGCUAUGUAACUAACAGAAGACACAAUUUUUAAAAUUGUGGUGCUUUAUGCUUUAUAAACAAAAUAUCGUCUUGAACGUACUUUCCGCUUCCGCAUUCUUCAUAAUGCUUACGCUGAAUGUCCUACGCCUUUCCGUAAGUAGAACCUGCAACGGUUCUUCUUUGAACAUCAUAAAAAGCCAUAAAUAUUAUACUUUGUGCACAACGAAUUGGACUUUAGGGCUUUGACAUUGCUGGAAGAGGAAAUAGUGCCCAAAUAACAUUUCAAAUCUUGACAAAAAAUAAUAACUUGGGCCUUUUUGGGACAGUCUUGCGCACUUACUUCCUGUUGCGUGCACGAGCUCUCAAGUGGCCAAGAUCGCAAGUGUGAGUAUUUGUACAGGGCAAUAGUGGUCAACACAGGACAAAUAUUUUGUCAUCUGGGACAGAAGAGAGAAGCUAGUCAAGCAAACACGCUCUGUAGAGCAGUUUGUCCGUUUAGGGUUACUGAAAAAACAUGUCGGUGCAAAAUGGCGAUUUAACAUAAGAGGACCCGCGAUGUAGCCUAUGUAGAAAUGGCUCAUAAAAACAUCAGUUCAUUAUGUAAGCCUACCUGAUUCCUGAGACUCAGUCUGGUUGAUGCGAGACUUUGGAAUCCUGGCGGUGAAUUCUUGAUUGUGUGUAGCCACAGAUGUGCUACUACAGUGGACUGGAUUUGCUCUGUUCAUUUAAGUAUCUUCAUAGAUAUUUUCACACAGUUUCAAUCCUACCUAAGCAGCCUGUCACCAAUAAACAGCCCACAGUUUCACACUUUUAUGGCUUGGUAAAGCAAAAUAUUAGAUGAUAUGUGAUAAUGUGUAAAAUGGCAGAAUUAUUUGCAUUAUAGAUGUACAAUGAGCAGAAAUAACCAUGAUUUAAAAUUUCUUGUCUAUAGUCUUUACUGGUCCACCUUGAUUUCAUAUUAAAAAAAAAAGUGUAACAAUCUCA